ACAACUGUGUAAAUGAUGAAGAAGAAGAAAAAUCACGAUUGUUAUAAGCAGAAGAUGAAGUUCAUAAUGAUCGUAGUGGAGGUGACUGUUAAUGAUGAGAAUGAUUAUGACAGUGAUGAUGGGGGGAUAGGGCAAUGAGGGCGGUGAUAAAAGAACGAAUAACAAAACCAGAAAAUAUCAGUUUGUCAACUGAAUAUAUUAAAUAUCUUCUUGUUUUGUUUUUUUCUUUCCCAAUACCGCCAUCACCCUCUCUCUCUUCCAUUUACUAUAAAUAUAACACCAUCACAUGCCUCCUGUGUCUCUCUCCGACCUCCUCUUCCAUAAUAUCCUGGACAGAAGCCUUUCUACAGACAAAAGCAGCAACGUUAAUCAUCACCAUUCUUCCAAGACUUCCUCUUGUUUGGGAUUGGAAGCUGAUGAGAGAGAGAAAGAGAGAGAUUGGAUUUCUUUGCAGUUCUUGUUGCUAAGGCAACAGCGUUCAUGUGACUUCUUCACUUAUCAGAUCAACUGAUCGAUUUCCAUAUUUCUCAAAUCAAUACCGUUAUAUAAUUUUAAUUUUUUUACUAUUACUGUUUUGUUUUUUUUCAUUUUUGUGUUUUCUUCAAAUAUUCCGUUUUAGUUUAUUUUUUUAAAACUAUUAUUAAUUUUAUCGUAUUUUAAAUUUUAGCAGCAUUUACUAUUUUUUAAAUUCAUUUCUGUCAAAAAUUUUAUACAAAUCAAUAACUUCCAUUUUCCCAGAUCGCGGUCAACAACAACACGAUGAGUCGACAAGGGAGCAUCUACGUGGUUGCUCAACCUGCUAGAAACGGUAGCCAAAUCACUUUUAAAUCAUUCUUUUCUAAAAACACGAAAGACACAUUAAAUAACGUAGUUUAAGGUAUAUCGCGCGUUUUUAGUUGUUUUUUGUUUUUUGUAUGUUCACGGCAAUAAUGUUUUUGAUAUUUGUACGUGGUUGUAAUGUUAGAAAUAACAACCAAAUCUCCUUCAGAUCACAUUCUGCCGUCCUGAAAGAGACAACAAUAUGAUCUUGAGAUUAUUACAGCUGGAACGUCGGUUAACUCGACCAAACCACUGCCAUCACUAAGAAAAACUGGAAUGUCAACACAAAAAGCUGCCAAAUUAUUCAAUUACUGCUGCCAUCACCAACACCAGCUUGAUCACUACAAACUAUCGUCAACAUUAUCGCUUUUACUAAACCAAAAAUGAUUUCUAAUUUACGCACAAACCCAGCAAUUUUGUGUAAAGUGGAUAAUUCGACAGCGUUGACCCCAGUUGCUUGACUGAUACUUUAUUUUGUUGACCCAGAGGGAUAAAGGACAAAGUUGACCUCAGAACGCAAAGUGUCGGAAGAAAACCCACAAAGCAUUUUGUCCGACGCUCUACCGAUUCCGCUGACUGCGAGCCGAUGAAAGAAUCUAUACAUAGUCAUUUGACCUAAUCAGAAAAGCAGCCCUGUCUUAAAAGAAAAAAGAACGGACACAAUGGACAGUGUCGUGUUGUCUUAGAUACACAACGAUCGGUGGAUAUAGAGGGGGGGGGACUGGAUAGUCAUGGUGGGAACACUUUUAGACCCAUAAGUCUGCUGAGUCAAGGCUGAUCAGGGCCAACAACAAUAAUACAUUUAAUUAGUUAUAACAUCGCUACCACUGGGAACCUCUCGAACCAGCUAGAAAUAACAAUCAAAUCCUCCAUUAAAUAAUGUAGUCGACUGCCAGAAAAAAAAAAGACGGAAUAAUUAUGGCUGAAAUGUCUUUUAACAUAUGUUUGCUCGAUCAAGGAAAACUUGGGGUUUAAACAUCAGCAACAACACCUUCAUCAACAUUAGCACUAUCAGCAAUAUUGCGACGACGACGACUAACAAUCUCACCACUCCUAUUAGUACCAAACCAUUUACCAUCUUUUAUACUACCACAAGUGUACUAACAACACCGUCACUCCCCACUACCACCACCACCAACCAUUCCCUUCGUUGUUACAUCCUCCUCCUCCUCCUCUUUUACUCUACUACUGUCUCCUCUUUGUACUUUCCUUUUCACAUUAUGAAUGCUCAAUGAGAUACUUGUCUUCUGGUUUUUGUUUGUUUUGUUUAUUUUUCCAGAAAACCACUCACUACAAACGGGCACCGCCACCACCACCACCAUCACCAUCGAAUACCAGCAGCAAGAGACAACGAGGGAGGCUUCUCUAUACGGUCGGCUAACCUACUAGAAAUAGCUGCCAAAUCUCUCUUCAGUCAUCCUUUAUUGUUUUAAAUAUGAACACAUUGGAUAACGUAGUCCUUUAUGCGUUUAUGUCUAAAAAGAUAAGAAUGGAACCUCUUUGAUCAUAAUUCUUCACAACCACGGCAGACCAGGGGCUAAACAGCUUCGAUAAUACUAGCACUACUGCCAUCGUUUUAUUAUUCUGUCUAGAAUAUAUUUACUGAUUUUGCCUUCGGAUUUUCUUCUCUUUUCUUUCAUCUUUUCACAUGAAUAUUUCCUUUACAGUAGACACAUACUCACAUACAACCACACGUUCACAAUUCUGUUAUAUAAUUAGAGUUCAUUCUGCUCUCCUCAUCCUCACCCUUUCUCUUUUAUUCCUCCUUCUCUCCUUCAUUCACCUCCCUCCACCCAUCAACUUUUUAUUAUCUCUUCUUAUACCUCCCCAUCCUCCCACUACUACUAUUACUUGUACCACGUUUUUAUUAUUUUUCCCUCUAGCGCUCUCUCUAUUUCUCUUUCCUAUAAUUCCCCCUCCCUCUCCCCUAUAAUUAUACCUCUAUCUUUCUCUGUCUCUCUCUCUGAUCUUCUUCUGAUUAUAUAUAUAUAUACAUACAUGUGUCUUUCUCUCUCUCUCUCUCCCCCGUACUCAGUUUUAAUUCUUCUCCAGACUUCCGUUUCAGCAGACCACUGCAUCGAAUGGAAGUGGGUUGAGGCAUUGAACAACAGAAAGGAAAAUAAAAUAAAGAACAAAGUAAGAAGAAAUCAUAAUGCUUUAAACACAGUUGUGAAAUUUCUAUAACCUGAAGCAGACAUUGCUCUUAAUUUUGUUGUGGAUCUCUUUCUAUGUAUAUCAUAAGAAUGACAGAAAAAAGUUAUUGACUGAAAACUGGCAGAACUGAGAAGAUGAAGCAAAGAACAAACAGUUUUAGAAGGAGAAUAGAUUUCAAAGAAACCAAAGAAAUAAAAUUAAAAUAAACCCUGUGUUAUUUUCUUUCUGUUUCUAAGAAGGAUUUCUUGAUUUCUUCACAAAACAACCGAGACAGAAGCGUAGAAUAACAGAGAUAUUUCAAUUGAAAAUUGCUUUAAUUUUUAUCCUUCAUUUUAUUAUUUUUUAGCUUAGCAUUUUUUCUUAGAAAUCUUAUUGCUGCAUCCACAAAUCUAUAAAUAAAUGUCUUUGUACACCAUUACAGUA